rnacentral:lncRNA from 1 species
UGAAGUGUAUCUUUUGAAUGGAAGGGCACAUUUGACCUAGUACAUGGAAGGAGAAACUUGUUUUUUUUUCCUUGGGUGGGUCACAUGUCAUGUUGUGAACGAAUGAGAGAUGAGAUAUUUGUUGAGUUUUUCCCAAUUUCUCUUAAAAGAUUGAUUAUAAAAUAAAUAAAUAAAAAAUAAAACUAAAGUUUAAAAUUAGAAUAAAAAUUAAUAAAACAGAAAUAAAACUAUAUUU